rnacentral:lncRNA from 1 species
CACAAAACCAAGCCACUCCUAGAUUCCUGGCCCUUAGACACAGUGCUAGCCUACUGUUUGCCCAGGGCUCAUCGAACUCUCUUUGUGUUGUCUGUGGGAAUUGGAGUUUGAAGACCUGGUGCAAGAACAUGCUGAUCCUCUGGUCACUGCUACUUCUGUGAGUGAUAAAGUCCUCGGUCUCUAACCCAAGAGUAUCUGGUGCUCUGCCAGCAUUCAGGAAACUCUAACAGGCUAAACUUGUUGGCUUGCAAGUAGAGUAAAAUCACAGAAUCUUCACAGUUCUUGCCACCUCAUCUAGCUGUGCCAAUUAAAUGAAAUAAUUUAUGUAAAGAACUUACUUAGGGAUUGGUACAAAGUAUAAAAUAUAUAUUGGAUAGUGAUGG